CGCGUAGGCGGUUCGGAAAGUCGGAUGUGAAAGCCCCGGGCUUAACCUGGGAAUUGCAUUCGAUACUAUCGGGCUAGAGUAUGGUAGAGGAAAGCGGAAUUCCACAUGUAGCGGUGAAAUGCGUAGAUAUGUGGAGGAACAUCAGUGGCGAAGGCGGCUUUCUGGACCAAUACUGACGCUGAGGCGCGAAAGCGUGGGGAGCAAACA
rnacentral:rRNA from 1 species